GACGAACCGUGCAAACGUUGUUCGGAAUCACUGGGCUUAAAGGGCGCGUAGGCGGGCCAGCCAGUCUGUGGUGAAAGCCUCCAGCUUAACUGGAGAAGUGCCGUGGAUACUGCUGGCCUCGAGGAGGAUAGGGGCAUCUGGAACGGUCGGUGGAGCGGUGAAAUGCGUUGAUAUCGACCGGAACUCCGGUGGCGAAGGCGAGGUGCUGGGUCCUUUCUGACGCUGAUGCGCGAAAGCCAGGGGAGCAAACGGGG
rnacentral:rRNA from 1 species